AUUGUCUUCUUAAUUGUUGUUUUUUCUCUUCAUAAAUUCUCAGUUGAUGAAAUGUGUACACAUGAAGACAACCAACCACAAAAGAUAUGAGGUUUAAUAUGUAUUUUUUUUUGUGGAUUAAAUUGCAUAGGUAAUUUCCUUGAUGAAGAAUGUUGCUGGUAAAUCAAUGUACCGCAAGAUUAAAUUUUUCGGUAAAAAGUCAAUAUUGAACCUCAAACAAGUACCUUUUAGUUUGAUUCGCAACCAACUUCACCAAUACAAGUGGAUUUUGCCAUAAUGACCAAAACAUUGAUUUUAUGUGCUGUUGAGGUUGAAGAUCAGAUCCAUGAUUAUAAAGAUUGAUGAUACUAUCAAGAAUCAGAAAUGGUGAAUGUUUCAGAAGUCUAACCGAAAGAUGAGAAUAUUCAUGAUACUACCAAAAAUCAAUAAGAAAUAGAAAAUUUUUCAGAACUCCAACCUAUGUAUGAAAAUAUUCAUGUUACUACGGAAGCAAGUCCACAUAAGAAUGUAUUAAUAUAAUCAGAAAAUUUAGUAUUAUGAUACAUUAUCAGAUGUCUGAUACAUCAAAAUUUGUUUGUGUAUGAUGCAUUAUCAAUUUAAUGUAUCCUGAUUUAUACUACAUGUUGCUUCAUUAUGAUGAUGAACCAGAUUAAGUCCCUCAAGAUCUUAAUGAAGCAACAACGAAUAAAGACACAUAAAUAAUAAUAUAUCAUGCACUAAUUUAUUAGGCAUAA